rnacentral:rRNA from 1 species
CUCUGCGCAAGGGAUCUUUUGGUUCGCUAGACGAAGAAGGGCGCAGCGGAAUGCGAAAUGUGCAGGAGCAGCAGCGAAGAUAGCACAUGCCUGAAAUCACGAGAGUGAGACUACCCCUUUGAAUUAAGCAUAUGAGUAAAGGGAGGAAAAGAAACUAACAAGGAUUCCUGUAGUAGCGGCGAGCGAAGAAGGAACAGCCCCGAGUGUAAUCAGCUAAUUAAUAUAAUGUGAGAUGUCAUUAAUCUAUAGAACGAUGUUG